GCUGUGAUGGCCGAGUGGUUAAGGCGUUGAACUUGAAAUCCAAUGGGGUCUCUCCGCGCAGGUUCGAACCCUGCUCGCAGCG
rnacentral:tRNA from 1 species